rnacentral:rRNA from 1 species
UACGGAGGGUGCGAGCGUUGUCCGGAUUUAUUGGGUUUAAAGGGUGCGUAGGCGGCUUGUUAAGUCCGGGGUGAAAGCCCACAGCUCAACUGUGGAACUGCCCUGGAUACUGGCAAGCUUGAGUCCAGACGAGGUUGGCGGGAUGGAUGCUGUAGCGGUGAAAUGCAUAGAUAGCAUCCAGAACCCCGAUUGCGAAGGCAGCUGACUAGGCUGGCACUGACGCUGAGGCACGAAAGCGUGGGGAGCGAACAGGAUUAGAUACCCCGGUAGUCC